GCUCGAGUGGCGAACGGGUGAGUAACACGUGAGUAACCUGCCCUUGACUUUGGGAUAACUUCAGGAAACUGGGGCUAAUACCGGAUAGGAGCUCCUGCUGCAUGGUGGGGGUUGGAAAGUUCCGGCGGUUGGGGAUGGACUCGCGGCUUAUCAGCUUGUUGGUGGGGUAGUGGCUUACCAAGGCUUUGACGGGUAGCCGGCCUGAGAGGGUGACCGGCCACAUUGGGACUGAGAUACGGCCCAG
rnacentral:rRNA from 1 species